GAUGAACGCUGGCGGCGUGCCUAAUACAUGCAAGUCGAGCGAACAGACGAGGAGCUUGCUCCUCUGACGUUAGCGGCGGACGGGUGAGUAACACGUGGAUAACCUACCUAUAAGACUGGGAUAACUUCGGGAAACCGGAGCUAAUACCGGAUAAUAUAUUGAACCGCAUGGUUCAAUAGUGAAAGACGGUUUUGCUGUCACUUAUAGAUGGAUCCGCGCCGCAUUAGCUAGUUGGUAAGGUAACGGCUUACCAAGGCGACGAUGCGUAGCCGACCUGAGAGGGUGAUCGGCCACACUGGAACCGCGCCCCGGUCCAGGCUCCUACGGGAGGCCGCAGUAGGGAAUCUUCCGCAAUGGGCGAAAGCCUGACGGAGCAACGCCGCGUGAGUGAUGAAGGUCUUCGGAUCGUAAAACUCUGUUAUUAGGGAAGAACAAAUGUGUAAGUAACUAUGCACGUCUUGACGGUACCUAAUCAGAAAGCCACGGCUAACUACGUG
rnacentral:rRNA from 1 species